UCGCGUUCCAGCGUUCCUUGUUUCCGCGCCACAGACUCACAGUAAGACUCGACCCUGUUCCGAUGAUCGACCUCGCCUUUUUGCCUCAUGUUUUUGGACACUGUUGCCUUUCUUGGAUCGCCCGCCCGUGUACCGACCUCUGCCCGUCUAUUCAACCUCUCUUUUUGGAAACUGUCCAUUUGUUUUGGAGUCGUGCAUUUUUGGGUCCUAUCCUCUGUUCCGUUCAUGACACUUUUUUCCUCUACACUUGGUCUCCCUGAAAGAACCAUUAUACACUGGCUGAACAAAGACACCAUCGACCAUGAUGAACAAGCACCAACGCCACUCUCUAAAUCUGGUCCUAAGAGCGGCAAGCAUGCAAAGCUUGAAACUGAGGUCAAGGAUUUCCUUAAGGAUUGGUUGAGGGACCUGCCCACUGUUGAUUCACACUACUGCAGAAGCACAGAGACCUAUAAGGACAAGAAGUUCCUUCAUCCGGGCACAACCAUCUCCCAUCUACACUGGGAAUAUCAACAGGCAGCUGCAAUUGCUGGAGUGAGGGCAGUUGCAAUUCGAUAUCACACAAAUGUGUUCCAUGAAGAGAACUACUCUAUAUUCAUCUGGCGGAAAGAUCAGUGUGAUGUUUGUGUUUCAUUCAAUCAUGGUAAUAUUAGUGAGGCCGAAUACGGUGCACAUGUCACCAAGGCAAGAGAAAUCCGGUGACAAGUAUUCUGCAAAUAAUGAGACUUGCAAGCUGUGCUGCUGUGCCCAAAAACCAAAGCUUGCAGCCUGUAUUAUAAAACAAAACUGCAGGUCCAUAACUUCACAUUCUUCAACUUGAAAUCAAAGGAAGGGUACUGCUACAUUAGGGACGAAUGGGAGGGCGACCUCAGUAGCGAGGUGAUUAAAGACCAUCCAGAACUCAAGGAGGUCAUAGUGUGGAGCGAUGGUUGCGGAUAUCAGAACGGCAACGCAUGUGUGGCAAAUGCAUUCUCUGAGCUUGCAAGGAAAUAUGAGGUACUAAUAACGCAGAAAUACCGUGUUGCAGGGCACACACAAAUGGAGUGUGACAGCAUGCAUAGUACUAUUGAAUGCAAAAUGCUUACUGAUAUCUUCACGCCAAGAGAUUAUGUCAUCAUACUUUAGACCGCAAGACUCAGGCCAUCAGCUUAGCAUGUGAAGGUGCUCAAGCAUGAUGAGUUCUCAGAAACUGAAUGGAUCUUACUUCAUUAGCAUCAGACCUGGCAAAAAAGCUGGAGAUCCAACUGUGCGUGACUUACGGGCUCUUCAGUUUAGCAGUGAAGGCAAGGUCCAUUUUAAGCUUUCCUUCUCAGAGGACUCUGAGUGGGAAGAACUGCCACAGAGGGUACAGGUGCCAAAUGAGCCAAUGGCAUGGAUAAGAAUGUUUCCAUGUGCUCUGCCAAUCAAGGAAAGAACGUUCGAGGACCUCCAGUCAAUGAAACAGGUCAUGCCAGUCGAGUAUCAUCACUUCUUUGACAAUUUGACACAUUAAUAGACGUCAGUCAAGCAAACAGGAGCUGCAGGUAGAAGUGAGGAGAUGCACAUACCUCCUCAGCAUUAUGUUUAGUUAGUUUGUAUGUUUUGUUAUUGACUGAGUUGAAGGUUUAAAAUUGCUCAAGUCAAAAAUUUGCUUAAGUCAUUUAUUCCUCUUCCAUAACAUAAUUGACAGACCUUGUUCUUACUAUGUCAAUAGUCAUCUAUUGUCAUUACUUUUUGAGUGAAAUAGUUACUCAAUGUCAUAUAUUCACCAUUAGGUGCAGUUUUUUGUGUUUUCUGAAAAAUGUUAAAAAAGGACUUAAGCCAUUAUUUUAAGAGGGUGUCGAUAUUUAACGUGUAAAUAUAUACUUAACAUUUAGAUUUGAGACUUAGGUGGAUUUAAGAUUUGGAUUUAACUAUACAGUUGACAAAUAUUGUUCUAAAUGUGCAGAAAAGUGACUCUCAAAAAUUGACACCAGUUUUUUAAACAUGUUUUGAAGCUAAAUGUGACAAAAUGUUGCUGUUAUUUUUGGCGUGAGCAGCUUUACAAAGAGCACCCCAUAGAAUCAACACAAGGAAAUAGAUAAAACCAAUGUUUUUCACUCAAUCUUGAUCAGCUGAAAAACAUGUGAUCGACUCCGAUUUUCAAUCACGGGAUCAGAUCAGGACGUCCCUACUUCUUUAGUUCCUAAUGAUGUGUGAGUUUUAUUGGCUGAUGGACAUGAAAAAAAGCAAAGUUGAGAGUCACAUGAUACGUUUUGGCGUCUACACGUGCGUCCUUGACCGCCACCGAGCGUUUAUUUACGAUGCAGCGCGCUCGGCAUGCGAGAACAGCGAGUUCCACCUGUACCCGAUCAACAUGAAGACAUCCACAAGGACUUCCCAGAAUGAUGAAAUGCUCCAGUUGAAAGAUGACAGCAAGAUUGUAACGUUUGACCAUCACAAGGACGACAAAUCAACGGCGAGGAAGACGUCCCCCACGUAGUCACGACGACGACGGAUUCAACAAAUUAUGCUCGACUGAAAAGUGAAAAACGAGCUUGACAUUGAGGUACGACUUGAAUUUUUUCUGUGACCACGCUCGCAUCUCAAAUUAUCUUUCCGCAUUGAAAUGAAUGGAAAGGCCGUUAAUCUUUUCCAGACCCCCCGACCCACCCACCCAAAAUGUCAUGUUUCUAAAGAGAAAAGUAGAUAUAAAUAAUAUAUACAUUUAAAUAAAUAAAUUGCACUUUAUAUAAACAUAGAAUAAUGACAUAAUGAAAUAUUCUGAAAAGAAUUAAAGACUUUUUGUCACACUUUCUCCUGUAAUUCUUAUUGUGCUGGUCCUUCUGGAGUGCAUGCCUCGGUCACCUGGGGCCAGUGUAAGACAGCUCCACGUAUAUACUGCAGUGGAGGCUCAGCUCUUCUCUUGACUUCUCUGUACAACAAUAAUAUUACCGGUGCCUCAUAGAGGAUAAAGACUAUAUGCCUGUGAGUAUGAUGAUAUUACGUGUUGCUGCAUAGUUUGUGUCGAAAUCUUUGUUUCUCAUAGGCUAACAACACCGCCACAUAGAUGUUAAUUGUUAGCCCAUAUGUCUAUAGAGUUUCCCAUUUGAUGUUAGCAUACAGGUAUUAGAGGCUACGUUCUUGCUUUAAAUACACAAAGUGUAAUUCUCUUUGUUUUGGAGUAACAUUCAGCUGAGAUUGGGGAUAAACUGCUUGAAGAAUCUUUUUCCAGAAUAUUUACUUAUUCUAGCUGCCAAACCGCCGCUCGUCGUCAAGUGUGUUGCGCUUACUGCCACCGUACAGCGCCCGAACCUCAGGUUUGCGCUAGCGAGUCAAAGCAAAAAAUAAAUAAAUAAAUAAAUAAAUAAGCUCAUCGAAUGCUCGUAUCUGGAAAAACUCUGUUGACUUGUAUCUCAACGUGCCACUGUGCGAUGUGCCCCUUUAAGGAAGAUCAACCUAUUAGAAAGGAAGAAACUAUUUUGGAAUAUCCGCCUCUAUAAAGUAAGAAAAGAUCCAUCGCUGGCCAUAAGGUUAGCAAACAGAAGCUGAGGGAGUUAAGGGACUUCGGGCAACUGAAGAUUCUGAAAUAACUCGGAAUUAGCAAUAUUUCUGCUCAACAGUUAUGUUUAUCACCUCUUUUUGAUUUUUAAUGGUUUGUACCUUCUAAAAAAAUAAAACCUUAAACGGAUAACAUAUAGUGUUAUAGGAACACUCCAUUACCAAUAAGUCACAGCUGUGGCCAACAUUGGCUUGUUUACAGUGCUAAUGCUAGCUUAGCACGCUGCUAUUUUGUUCAAACUGAAUGCUGUGCGUCCUCUGGGUCUCCGUACAAUGACAACAAGGCUCUCCGUUAUGAAUGGCCAUGUUUGAGAAUCGCACUUGCAGCAUGUCAGUGAGGGAAGGGGCACGAGAGUGGCAGAAAGAAAGAAAAACAGAAAACAACAAAGAAGAAACCCUCAGCCAGCGUCUGCGGGCACUCAUUGGCGUUGUGUUGGUUAGGGUCUCGUUGUCCCAGAAGCGCGGCUGUCCGAGCUCGCGGCCUCGAGGAGCAGACGGAGGAGCUCUGUCUCGAAGCCUCAAGUACAAACAGCAAUUGUGGGGCUCAAGAGCUAGAGUUGACCGAAAGUCUUGCAAUUUUCUUGCCUCUUCUGAUAAACACAACAUUGUCAUUCCAUAACCUGAUGGGCAAUAAAGUUUGAAUAUAAUUUGGUUGUUUUAUUAACCAAAAUCUAAUCGAAUUGUUAAAUAUUUUCUCUAUCGAAUUUAAAGGAGAAUACUUAAUAAGCUCAUGAAUUAGCUAAUACACUUUUGACAUUGUCCCGAAUAGGUGUUUCGCGACCAUUUUGGGGGCAUGCAAUUGAAUCCCAAUAAAGUUUGAGAGAUUGUUGCUGAUGAUAUUUUAAACCAUUGAGUACUGGUUUGAAAGGUCAUAUUUGAACAACCCAGAGAGGUGGGAGGGAGAGCCUCCUGGUGUUCUUGGCAUCAACCAGGACAUGCGCAACAUUUCUUCACUUCUCAAUGCCAAUACACGAUUACUAUUACCCUUCCUCAUUUUUGCUGCAUCAAAGUGUAGCUCACCGUUUAUGUUGUUAGGUAGGAGUUAGCCAACAGUUUGUCUGUUUUUUAGUUAGGAAACGUUUCAGGUGGUCAGAAACAGCACCACUGUCCUCUGUUUGAAUUGGAAUGAGAGAAGCUAGCAGUUGUAUCAUAUUCAUGUGUGAAUAUUAAAGGCUUUGCUUCUCUUUCUUAAAUGUGGGAAUUAAAAUUGUGUUAAAAUGUAGAAAACAGUGAAAGGAAUUUUGCCUGUGCAGGGAGUGCAGCGCCUCAAAACCUCAGACACCACAGUCGCCCCCGGUUCCACCACCACGAUAAGACAUGAUAGUGCCGCCAUCUUUUGAGUCAUUUCAGCUGCGUUUGUUGUGGUCUUGCAUACGUGACAAUUGACUUUGCUUGUUGCCGUGUACAACCUAAUAGAUUUUUUGUAUGCUAAAUAAAACAUAUUGUGGAAUGUGUUAAUGUCUUUGCAUCAUGAUCAUUUCGGUCACGAUAAUUCUGAUAGAAAAUGUUCUUAUUUCAACUGUAACCCUUUGUGAAGCGUUUGUCAGGCACUCAGCUUGUUGGAUUCCAUCCAGUCGACAGCUCCAUGAGACGUGGUGUGAAAUUUCUGGGCGCACGGUGCGCGAUGAGCAAAAGUCAAGAGACAUUUAUGAGGGUGCAUGACUGGAAGCGCAGGUGACUGUUUGCUGGCUUUGAAAGCUUAGCUGGAGCCCUGCCGCCGUGUCAAUAUUCAGGCGAGGGACGCUAAUUCCUCCCUUUGGUGGAGGCUUUAGCACAAUUUGGUCAUUUGUAUUAGAUGUCUCAAUUUCCAAGGAUGGCGUCUCGCAUAUGAGCAGACUGACGUACGGACGGACACUUCCCUCCUCACAGGGUGAAGCACUGCGUUCUGAGUACCCCAAAUACGGUAUAUGCCUGGGAUUUGCGGAUUUAAGGAGUGAUCCAGCUCAGGUUUUUUCAGUCUGUCUUAUGUAGCUGGCCUUUCUGCACCUGGUUCCUCAGUGCCGAGCCAUGCAACUACACUCAGAGUUAGUGUGUAUGCAUUUCUGUGUGUGUUUGUGUGGGGGUGGGAGGGGUUUGGUUUUUUCCCAUCUGUUGGUUAGGGGAAUGAAACCGAUCCCUCCCUCUCCCGGGGUUGGGCCGAUAAUCCCCACUCCGGGAUCAGGAAGGAAGUGCACGGUCCAUCCCCCCGCGCCAAUCCCCGUCCGCCCGCCCGCCGCCCCUGUUGUUGACGGUCCGUCCGGCCACGUCCUCCAUAGCGGACCGUAGUCCACUGGCCAUCCCGACCCAUUUUUUGUUACUUGUUUAUGUUGUAAUUAUUUAUUUAUUUAUAUUUUUUUGUGUAUUUUUUAUAAUUUUAUAAUUUGUUUUUCUUAUUGUAUAGAUCAAUUAAUUAUGAGUUCGCCUUGGUUAUAUAAGUAAUGAAUUGUUUGAUUUGUUUUGUAUUUAUUAGCUAAGGUAUCAAUUUGUAAUGUAUUUUUAUAAUAAUCAAGCAAAAAACCGAAAACAAUUGAAAAAAACAACCCAAAAAAACCCCCCAAAAAUUGUAUCCCCGUGUGCCUGGAUGACGUUUCGGCUCUUGUGAGCCUUCUUCAGGUCCCUGUUUAAUUGUUUUACAUGCGUAGUUUAGGGUUAGGUUUGGGGAACUGAACUCUUCCCCACCAGAACUGAACUCUUCCCCACCUCUUCCUGAGGGAAAGGAUGGUGCACGGUCCAUCCACCCAUGGUUCUGCCUCCCGUCACCCUGGUUCCAAUCACUGGGUUUUGGAGUCGCAGCACAGCCGUGGAAAUUGUCAACAGCAGCAAAGUUCUCCAGGCAGAGACAACCCUGCUUCUGGAUGGAAAACAACCUGUCCGAGUUCCCUGAGGAAGAGGGGCUCCGCUUAACCCUGAAGAGCCUGAGUGCUGAGCUCCACAAACUGGAUGACAUCCACUGGAUCUGUCCACUAAUGCACUGUGCUGAGGAGGGGUUGGUGCGUCCCAGUAGUCAAAGCAGCAUAAAGCUUAAGAUCAUGCCAAGAUGAAGAGGGAGAAGGAAAAGCUCCACAAGCAGAAGUCAAACCGCUCGCUCUCAGGAACACGGGAUGUCAAGUGUACGACUCCUGAAGCAGAAUCGCCAGGCAACUGAUGAUCUUUUCCGGCCCCUCACCUUGACCGCCGCGAGUGAGGAGAUGCCGUGCGCUUAUCUGCCGGCACCCGCUGUCCUGACUGCGGCGUAGGUGACAAGGAUUAGCUGUUUUGCGUUUCCUUACUGUGCAUUUAUUUUUCGAAGCGGGGUCACUUGCAUUGCUCCUCCACUGGCCUGCUGUGCUAAUGAAAGAGCCUACAAUUCUGUCAUUUUGUCAUAAACCGUGUCUACACGUUGCUUGCAUGCAGCAGAGUACAGAACAUCUUUUAGAAACGACACGAUGGAAACCGCCUUCAGACUGAAAUGAGACUUUUGGGGACACCUUGUUUCUACGCCAAGCAACCUUCAAUGGCACCAGAAGCCGAUGUGCAGAAAUCUUGGACGUUGAACAGAAAAGAAAAACAUUGACUGUAUUUGUGUGUUGAGCUGUUAAUAAUACUACUGAUAAUGAUGUGCACAUGCAAGGUGCUCAAGUGGUUUUGACUUUGUUUGGCUUGUCGUGACCUCAACUGAAGAGGUCAUGGGGUGGUUCAUGAUCAGCUGACUCGAGAUGUAAUGCACCAAUGUGAAUGUUUGCUUUGCCAGUAGUUCCCAAUUGUUCUUAUCGUCUUGCUCUCGUGGGUUUGCUGUCCAAUCCCCCACCACCCCCAGGUCCCCCCAACCAUCCCCCUGUGCGUUCAUAAACACGAUAGGAUCAAUCAAGAAAUUAAGUUGGCCAAAUGGGGAAAUUUGUAGUUUGCAUAAGCAUGUUUAGUCUAAGCUGAUGCUUGCUGUGAGGGGCAUACUAAAUGAUAGCGCGUGCAGGAACAUGCUCGUUUCCGCUCACGGUCGAGCAUUGCCAAGCUCCACUGUAGUCGGGUGCUGUUUCUGCAUCCAGUGUGCGCUGCUGCCUUUUUGCCUUCAUGGCUUUUGUGGUGUUGUGCCAAGUAGAGCGACACACUCCAGUGGUGUGUGCAAUGUGGCGUUCAUUUCAAGUUUACUGUGUCUGGGCUCGCACUUUACAGACUCCUUGAUGGGGGAAAUGUGCGUGUACACGCGUUUACGUCAAAUUAGGUGAAGAAUAUGACUUUUUAUUUGUGAUGAACUAUUAAAUAUAUAAUGUAAAAAUGCACGCCCAUCGAUGUGAUCCAUGGCUGUGGCGUUCCUGCUCCUGCGUCCACUGAUGCGCUGGGCCAACGUGUUACCAUGGUAACCACGUUAGCCAUUUGAAGCUUAAAGCCAAAGCUUAAGUCGACUCAUGAAUCACUUAUCGAAGAUAAAAUGUGUACAAUGUGUAACUUUUUUAAAUUGUAUCAUCAACUUGUUCUGAACAUAUGAAUGAAAUGUGUAUAUGGGUUUUAAAAAGAAAGCUCAUGUAUAUUUAAUUUUAUCAAUGAUUGUUUGAAUGUAAUUUAAUGGGGUUAACAAUGAUUCCGCAAUGCCGGGUGUUUGCACGAGUGUGUGCGUGUUGCCAGUUGUUCCGUCAUGUCACAAAGAAGCUUUGGAAAUUAAAAUGACUUGAUGGUGUGAUAAAUGUGCGUCUGCUGCUUCCAACGUGUCUGACUUAAAAGUAAGUUUUAUUAAUACCUGCAUGUAAGUUUGUUCGGUUUGUAUGAAAAUGCUUGCCACAGCUUCUCCCUACAUACAUUGUGACCACACAAAGCUGACACAAUAUGAAGUUGUCAUUUCUCUUAAUUGUUGAUUAAUGAAAUGUUUCGAGUGAGGAGCUAUAAAGGUGUUCUGUCAUAAACUGACUCUGCCUGUUUUCCCAACACAACUCUGCUUUCAGCUGGACUAUUGCAUGACAGGCGUGCGUGUCAAAUGCCUCAGUGUGUUCUGUAUGUUGUUUGUGAAUCCAUCCAGUAAGGAAUAAACCGUAUUGGAAAACUAAGUGAUUGUUGCGGUGCAUUGUGCAAAUAAAGUGAAAAAUACCUCCACUUGUAAAUAGAAAAGUAAUGCACUUAUACCCCAAUUGUGGCCUCAUGAGAAUCAAUGUAAACUAAUUAAACAACUAUGUAAAAAUCGUCCUACAUUUAUGGCAAAAGCUGCAGAAUCCAAAGUUUUUGAGGAAUAUUUGUUUUCUAAAUUUCUUAGAAAAUAUAACAUUCGAAUGAAAGACUUCCAUUGUGUGUAGUGACCCUGAACCAUUGAGUUAUUUCAAAAAUAAAAACUGUGAUGCAAAUGAAACAUAUUCGACAACCUUUCCUCCUAGUACUAGUACAGCAGAUUUCGGCGUCACGUGAAUGACUUGAAUCAAGCACGAGAAAUGGACAGUUCUCGGACAUAAUUAGGACUUGGUCAUCUGAUUGGUCGCAUUUGGCGCCAAAAGGUACGCAGACAAAACUGAUUGGGUAAUGCAACACAUCUAUGAUUGGUUAAUGCAAAACAUCUAGUUCCGGUUUGGAUCGCUUAAACGGGUGAGGCCAGUGCCGUUACUUUCGUCUUCAUUUGUUCCAGCCAAGGUAAGCACGCUGCUUCACGCUCUCUAGCAAUUAAUGUUGUUUUUGCUGUGUAUUGACUUAUUUGAGCGUGUUUUUGACAUGUUUGAUUCGUCUUGUGAGUGAUUUGACAUGCGUUAAUUUGUGCUUAUACAGCUGAGUGAACAUGCGGGGUCGUCGUUUUGUAGCGUAAGGUUUGAACUUUAUUCGACGCCCAGAUGCAUAAUUGGCUUUGUGGCGUCGCUGGCUUGUGUUUUUACACUUUGCGUGAGUGGGGUGAAUGCGUUUUUUGUUUUUUAGCGGUGUUUUAAUGUACAAUUGCCGUCGUCCUCCUGGCGGGACUCUCGCUUAAACAUGACGUCACCGCGGCAGCUCCGCGUUCGUCAUUGUUUAGCAAAGUUUGAACUUUGUUCGACGCCCGAAUGCAUAAUUGGCUUCGUGGCGUCGCUGGCUUGGGGUUUUACACUUUGCGCGAGUGGCGCGAAUGAGUCUCGAGCGUUUUCGUCGUUUUAGCGGUGUUGUAAUGCACAAUUACCGUCGUCCUCGUGGCGGGAGUGUCGCUUGAAUAUGACGUCGCCGCUGCUGCGACGUGGUCGCCAUUUUGUUGAGCAAAGUUUGAACUUUACUCGACGGCCAAAUGAAUAAUGGACGACAUGGCGUCGCUGGCUUGGCGUUUUACACUUUGCGUGUGGCGCGAAGCAGUUUGAGUGUUGUUGUUUUAGCGGUGUUGUAAUGCACAAUUGCCGUCGUUCUCGUGGCGGGAGUGUCGGUUGUAUAUGAUGUCAACGCGGUUGCCAUUUUGAGCAAUGUUUGAACUGUCGUAUGUUUACUGUCUUACAUUCUUAAUUUUUAAUUUCCAAUUAACUGUAUAGUCUGCUUUAUGUAAUUUUAUUUGUCUCGACAGUUUCCCUCUCAGGUCUUGGCACACCAAAUUCUAUGCACAAAUCGGCGAUGUUUAAUGUACUAACUCCCAAACCAAACUGAGUCAGUGAAAAGGUUAUUCCUUUUUAUACCUGCUGUUUACAUGGCCUGUUUUAAAAUUAUAAAGAAUGUCCAUUUGCAUGUUCCAAACUUGUAAGUGUUCAGCUCAUUCAAACCAACCUGUGAACAACUCUGCUUCCCGAAAUUUCAAAAUAAAAGCCCGAAAUUACAAAUUUAGCUAGAACUUUUUUAUUUUCAGUGGAUUUGCACUGUUCCUACUUAUGUGAGCUCAUUAAAACCAAGCUGUGACCA